rnacentral:rRNA from 1 species
UACAGAGGUCUCAAGCGUUGUUCGGAUUUACUGGGCGUAAAGCGCGUGUAGGCGGACUUGUAAGUUGGGGGUGAAAUCCCGGAGCUCAACUCCGGAACUGCCUCCAAAACUACAAGUCUGGAGCAAGAUAGAGGCAAGUGGAAUUGCGAGUGUAGAGGUGAAAUUCGUAGAUAUUCGCAGGAACACCAGUGGCGAAGGCGACUUGCUGGAUCUUUGCUGACGCUGAGACGCGAAAGCGUGGGGAGCAAACAGG